GUCCCGCUGCCCUCGGCGCUGGGGUGGGAGUUGCAGAGAGGAAGAGUCGCUAACCCGGAGUGUUUCUUAAAACUUGGCUGACCUGUGUGACCUGCGGAUUUGGAGGCUGAAUUCUCCGAGCACCUGAAGCUACUACAGGAUAUAAUCUAAGAAAAUAAGGGGAAGAAAACAAGAAAGAGGAAGACAUUGGAUCCAAGAAAUGGGGGAUCUAUCACCUUACAGAUGAAAAGAGAAUCUACAUGAUCUUUGUGAAGAUAUGACCUUGGGACUUGCUUUAGCCAGUGGAAUGGAAGCAGAAGUAACCUGUAAUUUCCAGCUAGAUGGGUGAUAUGGCAACUUAGGAUUCUACCUGAAUCAGCAUGGUAAAGUAUUUGGUGUGCUGGGGUAGUUUUUGAACCCAUUCUGCUUUUCUUUCCUUUUCCUGACACUUACCUCUUGCAAUCCAAGCGAAGAGAGAAGACUGGCUGCUGUUUCUCUGCCCCUUCUCCCUGCAGAUCCGUCCCAACUACUCCAUCCCAACACUCCCAUCUGUCCCACGUCAAGAGGCUGGUUUAGAGGAGUUUAUGUGAGGAUGAUCUCUUCUUUGCCCCCUCUGCCUUUUCUUUCCAUUUUUUUUCAGGGGAGCCCUGUACUUGGUACUUUUUCUUUGGCUUUUCACUUCUCCCAAAAUAGUUAUAUCUACUUUAGUCACUUCUCAUAAGUACAGACACAUCUUCUGUAAUCUCCAUCCUCUUUCCCCACUUCCUUCCAAUUCUUGCCCAUUUGCUUCAAGAAGGGCUCUCUUCCUUAACAUGCUCUCUUCCUAUUUCCUUGCUCCUUUCAUGAAAAAGCCAACAUCUUGGCUGACAAGUCACACACCUUUGUAAAGGAAACAAACAAAAUCCUCCAUCCACCCUCAUGAGGAGUGCUUCACAGGGGUACUCCAGCUACUGGGUCCUUUGGCUGCAGUGUAGACCUAGAGGAAGAGAUAAGCCCAGAGACUGAGCUGGGAGAGUGGGCACAGACUUGACAUUCAUCUCAGCAAACAGGGUGGAGAAGGGUAAAGCCAAAGCUGGGACUGUGAGGAACAAGGUGGCCAAGAAUGCAGUGUGCAGUGGAAGACGGUUUGAAUACAUUCCAGAGAUGGGGAGCAGAGCACUUUAACCUACUCUCCACCCUGGCUUGUGUUGUUAACAGACAAUUAUUAAUGGCCAGGAAUGAGCGGACAGUAGCCAGUGUGGCUGAGACCUAAAACAGUGUUACAGAUCAGUUAACUAUACAAGUCCUGCACAGUGGAUGCUGGGAGAAAAGGGAAGGAGUGGGAAGAGAAGAUAGAGUUGCGGAGUUUUAACCACUGUUGCCAAAGAUAGGGGAUAGAAGAGAAAGAAAAACAAGGCUCUAAUCCUUAAAAAAUUUCCCGAAAUUCUCUUAAGAAAGUCUUUUCAAAAGUUUCCAUUUACAUUUCUUCUGUCUUAAACACAGAUUUUAACCACAAUUACUAUUCAGUCAAUUAAAUGUUUGGUUGUACUUA